rnacentral:lncRNA from 1 species
AUCAGAUGUUGGGACCCUUAAGUGUUCUGCACCUGGGGAGAGUUAGGAACCACUUAAGGAGUGUCUGUUGCUUGCCAAUCUUAAAAUUUUUAGUUUGCACCUGAAUCAGGGGCUGUCAGAGUCCAGACUGCUCUUGAAAUAGAAAAGACUGGUCGUUAAAGGCUGGUUCGUUGAGUCUUUCAUCGUUGAGUGAUACCACCUCUGCAGAUGGCUCAGUGGGGCAGCCCCGUACCACAGCCUGCCCUUGAGGUUGUGUAGUUUAGAUAGGUCACAGAGUUGCUGGGCCUACCGCAGGUCUCCUGACCCUGGUGCAGUUUUACUUCAAUUACAACCACCAAAAUAGCUACAGUCAAAAAUUCCAAAGUUCCUACACCAUCAACCUCCACCCCACUUCCGUCCAAAGUCCACUUAGAGGCUCUCAGUUUUGGACCUUAGAAACACUUAGGGAGCUUUUUAAAAAGAUCGAUUCUGUAUUUUUAGUAGAGAUGGGGUUUCACCCAGCUACUCAGGAGGCUGAGGCAGGAGAAUCACUUGAACCGGGGAGUUGGAGGUUGCAGUGAGCCGAGAUUAUGUCACUCCAGCCUGGGCAACAGAGUGAGACUCCGUCUUAGGAAAAAAAAAAAGAUUGAUUCUGGCCGGGCACAGUGGCUCACGCUUACAGUCCCAGCACUUUAAGAGACUCAGGCAGGAGGAUCACUUGAGCUUAGGAGUUUGAGACUAGCCUGGGCAACCCAGUGAGACCCCGUAUCUACAAAAAUUAGCCAGGUGUUGUGACAUGUGCCUGUGGUCCCAGCUACUCAAGAGGCUGAGGUGAGAGGAGCAAGUGAGCCCAGGAGUUCAAGGCUGCAAUGAGCUGUGAUCGCACCACUGCACUCCAGCUCGGGUGACAAGAGUGAGACCCCGUCUGAAAAAAAGAUUGAUCCCAAGGCCUUGCCCAGAUUCUGAUUUUAUUGGCCUGGAGUGUGGCCUAGGCAUUAGAAAAUCUUCAAGAGAGUCUAAGGUGCAGCGGAAUUGAGAGCCACGGACAGAAAAAGCCCUAAAUUGUGGAAAUGCACAGCCACCGUCACCACCUAUCGGUACGAUGACAUCUCAAGGAGUCACUGGCCCUAGGUUUCUGCAGUAGGAUCUUAAGAUCUGAUCUCUGCCCUCAAGUGAGUGCACGUGCAGUAAAGCUGUCAUCGUGCCAUGACAGAUGUCUGCAAGGACUUUACAGUGGGGUCCAAAGGAUGCCACCAUCAGCUCCACCUGGGGCUCAACAAAGCCUGAAAGAAGAAAGGGAUGAUGCUUCCAGCAGAAACCUGGAGGCCUGCAGCUCUGCCAGCCCAGCACAGCAAGCGAGGCCAUUUGUCCAGCAGGGGCAGAAGGAGGGAACUCAGCCAGCCAGCGUUUCCUACAAGCAGCUCCAUGAGAGGUUUCCACUUAAAAUGCUAAAUCAUAAUUAUUUAAUCAGAUUCGUUCCUUAAGUUCUUUAAGCAGCAUCGCUGUCCUACCACGAGUGGUCAUCAAGGAGCAGGGUUUAACUCAACUCUGAGUUACCCGGCAGGGUACCUGGGUAACUGCCUGGGUUGAGGUACCCAGCAGGCUUCAUGUGCAUGUGCACACUGCCCCCUGAUAGGACCUGGUUUAUUCACAGGCUCAGGUGUCACUGCAGCUCCCCAGUGACUAUCUUCGCGCAAGUUGGACUCAAUGGCCUGGGAGGUUUGUCCCAGCCGACAGAUACCUGACCAUGCCCAUCCUCACCAUUCCCUCCCCCAUGCUGCAUCCAUCCAACCUUGAUCUCCACUGUGUCCCAGGCACCCUAAGAUGCACAAGCUAUGUGGGCCCUGCCCUCACAGAACUUGUAGUCUUCUGCCCCAAACAAGCCAGUUCACCGUCUUCAUGAUCAGGCCAAAGGUUGAGGUACCCAGCAGGCUUCAUAUGCACAUGCACACUGUCCCCUAUAGGACCAUGCCUUGCCCAGCUGGCUGCACUCUAGAGGGUGCUUUGUAGGAAGGACAGAGUGGAGAGGACAGUGGGGAGGUACUUGGGUGUUCAACAGCCAGAAGGGAGGGAAACUGAAAAAGAAUCAGGAGUCCAGCCAUCCCCUCCCCACCUCCUGCCCCCACUUCCACCCUGGCUGCUGGCCCUUUGCCCUUGAAUAUGGGUGAUAUAGGUGUGGCUAUUCAGUUCCAGUCACAGUGCUGCCUCUAUGUCUUUUGCAAGCUGGGGUCUUCCUUACUCAGAAGGCCUGGAGGCCCUGCCAGAUGCUGCCUUCCGGACUGGCUGCCCGCUGCAGUGUUUUCACGGGAGCCAAGCCAGCCCCGGGCCUGUAGCCUCCCAUGUGACAAAGUUUCAGACACCACAGUCCUCAGCUGGACCACAGUAAACACUUGCCUUCCCCAACCCAUGAUUCUUGCUUGGAAACAUGAACCUGAUGUUCCACGUGCGUUCAGCCAAUCAAACCUCAAGAAUGUGAUUGAGCAGUGAGGCUGCGUUUUGGGCAAGACACUGAGCUCUGAAAUAAGACUUUUCUUGGAAUCUCAAGCCCUCAACUUACAGUGGGACCCUAAGAAAUGCACUUCAGUUUCCUUUUAUGUAAAAUGGUGGUAAAAUUAAUUGUGUUCAUUAAAUUGCACACAACUAU